UACAGAGGUGGCGAGCGUUGUUCGGAUUUACUGGGCGUAAAGGGCGCGCGGGCGGCAGCGUGUGUCGGCUGUGAAAUCUCCGGGCUCAACCCGGAAAGUGCGGCCGAAACUGCGGUGCUGGAGCAAGGGAUAGGAAAGCGGAACUCAGGGUGUAGCGGUGAAAUGCGUUGAUAUCCUGAAGAACACCGGUGGCGAAGGCGGCUUUCUGGAACUUGGCUGACGCUUAGGCGCGAAAGUAGGGGGAGCAAAC
rnacentral:rRNA from 1 species